GGAUGAAGUUGGAGGAGCUUUCAUAGUAGGUGGCAAUCCAUUGGUCGGAUUGACAGGUUGAAGGACAACAGGAACAACUGCACCGCGGACUCCCACUGAAGGGACAGACGGAGCUGUUGUUGGAGGUAAUACAGUCAGCUGAGCGCUCUUUAAAGACCGAUCAUGGCCAUGUACCUGGACUUGGUUUCGAACGGGUAGAUGAAUUUCAUUCCUCUUAAUCAUCUGAACAUGUGGUGCUACGUCAUUUUCUGCCGUGACAGGAUCAAAAUGCCCUGGCCUAAAGACAACACCCCUGAAAUUUGUAUUGGAGUCGCCAAUCCGGACACUGAGCAAAUAACCAGCAUCAAAUGCAGCUUCAACGACACCUGUAACAGCCCGACCUAUCAUCCCAUCAUUUGCAACAUUAACUGUAUCUACUUGCAGGGGUUUGUUCGCCGCGGGCUCCCACUGAAGGGACAGAAGGAGCUGUUGUUGGAGGUAAUACAGUCAACUGACCGCUCUUUAAAGACUGAUCAUGGCCAUGUACCUGAACUUGGUUUCUAAUGGGUAGAUGAAUUUCAUUCCUCUUAAUCAUCUGAACAUGUGGUGCUACGUCAUUUU
rnacentral:lncRNA from 1 species